rnacentral:rRNA from 1 species
GACGAACGCUGGCGGCGUGCUUAACACAUGCAAGUCGAACGGUAAGGCCCUUCGGGGUACACGAGUGGCGAACGGGUGAGUAACACGUGGGUGAUCUGCCCUGCACUUCGGGAUAAGCCUGGGAAACUGGGUCUAAUACCGGAUAGGACCCUGGGAUGCAUGUACUGGGGUGGAAAGCUUUUGCGGUGUGGGAUGGGCCCGCGGCCAAUCAGAUGGUUGGUGGGGUGAUGGCCUACCAAGGCGACGACGGGUAGCCGGCCUGAGAGGGUGACCGGCCACACUGGUACUGAGAUACGGCCCAGACUCCUACGGGAGGCAGCAGUGGGGAAUAUUGCACAAUGGGCGCAAGCCUGAUGCAGCGACGCCGCGUGAGGGAUGACGGCCUUCGGGUUGUAAACCUCUUUCAGCACCGACGAAGCGCAAGUGACGGUAGGUGCAGAAGAAGGACCGGCCAACUACGUGCCAGCAGCCGCGGUAA